UACAGAGGUCUCAAGCGUUGUUCGGAUUCAUUGGGCGUAAAGGGUGUGUAGGUGGCGCCGUAAGUCGGGUGUGAAAUUUCGGAGCUUAACUCCGAAACUGCAUUCGAUACUGCGGUGCUUGAGGACUGGAGAGGAGACUGGAAUUUACGGUGUAGCGGUGAAAUGCGUAGAUAUCGUAAGGAAGACCAGUGGCGAAGGCGGGUCUCUGG
rnacentral:rRNA from 1 species